rnacentral:rRNA from 1 species
UACGUAGGGCGCAAGCGUUAUCCGGAAUUAUUGGGCGUAAAGAGCUCGUAGGCGGUUUGUCGCGUCUGCCGUGAAAGUCCGGGGCUCAACUCCGGAUCUGCGGUGGGUACGGGCAGACUAGAGUGAUGUAGGGGAGACUGGAAUUCCUGGUGUAGCGGUGAAAUGCGCAGAUAUCAGGAGGAACACCGAUGGCGAAGGCGGAUCUCUGGGCCAUUACUGACGCUGAGGAGCGAAAGCGUGGGGAGCGAACAGG